UCGUACAUACAAGGAUAACGGGGCACUCGAAAAUCAGCUGCUAGGCGGUAA
rnacentral:tRNA from 1 species